GACAGAGGGUGCAAACGUUGUUCGGAAUACUGGCGUAAGACGCGUGUAGGCGGCGACGUGCAGGUCGGAUGUGAAAUCCCGCGGCUCAACCGUGGAAGUGCACCCGAAACCGCAGAGCUAGAGUAUCGGAGAGGAAGGUGGAAUGCUUGGUGUAGAGGUGAAAUUCGUAGAUAUCAAGCGGAACACCGGUGGCGAAGGCGGCCUUCUGGACGAUUACUGACGCUGAGACGCGAAAGCGUGGGUAGCAAACAGGAUUAGAUACCCCCGUAGUCC
rnacentral:rRNA from 1 species